rnacentral:lncRNA from 1 species
AAAAAAAUUUUUGUCCUAAAUUUUUCUCCGUUUCCAUAGGAGUUAUAUAUUCUGUUAUAGCUGCACAUUAUUUGUUCACAAUAUUGUAGCAGAACAGAGCAUGUGAGUGAAAAACAGGCAUAACAAGGGAGGUAUGGGGGUUGCUUCCCUCCAGUAUUUGCAUAUAACUCCAGUGAAUGCUAUUCCCGGUAUCCUUUUGGUCUUUCCUAUACCUGACAAAUUUUUACGCCCCCGAGAAAAAAUGUUUCAUAUACAGUACGUAUGUAACCCGAGCGUAAACUGUACGAGUGUAAGUCUACAAAAGUCCAAAACAGGUAUAAAUAGAAGUCGCAGCUGUCAUGCUGACAGUUGUAAGGCAUAGAUGUUGCACACAGCUCCAAGCGAUGGGAGUUGUUAUAAAUUGUUCGGAUUAUUCUGAGUUUGCCGUUUGGUCUAAGUAGACGCAUGCGGUAAAGACUCGGAAAUAAAACACUAGAGGGAAUUAGAUGCCGUCUGCUGUGGCCUCUGUCUUUCUCUCCUCUCCCCCUUUGUCUCCUUUUCUCCUUUCUUGGUCUCUGUCAUCUCUUCCAGGAGUCAAGAUGAGCACCGUCCAGCAGCACCUUCCUCCCACAUCCCUCUUUCCAUUGUCUUCGGCACCGCGACCCCUCGGCAUGAAAAUCCCGGCACUCCCACACUGAAGUUUAGCACCUGUCUUCUGGACUCCAGUAGUACAAUUUCGAUGCCUGACGUGCAAUGGAAGGUGAACGAACGCAUGGAGCGUCGGGCAACACGCCGCCAUGGGAUGCCGCCGUCAGUGUGCUCGCAAUCAGCAUCGACUACGAUAAUUGAGAGUAAAACUGCGGCGAAGGAGAUGGAGAGCAUGCAGAGGAAGACCAAAGCGACAGCUCCUUUGAACGCCACCGCUCCUUUUGCGCGAGGGGCUGGAGGAAGGCGGCUCGCGAACACAUAGCAGCUGGGUCUCGGCAGCAGUCGCUUGAAAGCAUGACACAUCCUAUUACUCCUGUGAGAUCAGGCAAUUUCCACGUCAUCUCCUGUUUCUGAGGGUAUUUAUAGACUUUCAAAGGCAGCAUGGCAGUAGGCAAGCAUCCCUCUCCUUGUCUCUCACUCCCAGUCUCUUGCUCUCUCUCUCCCUCCGUCUCUCGCUCUUGCCUCUGAUCUUGCUCGAGCUAAUGUCCUCUCUCUUCGCCGUCGCCCCACCUUCCCACACACACACACACACACACACACACACACACACACACACACACACUGCCUCCUGCUGUCCCUGCUGCUUGAGAUCAGCAUCGAUUAAAAUCUGAGGUUCAGCUGACGACGAGACUACACCCAUGAACACCAAGCCCAGAAACGUGCAUUAAGAGCCAAUAUCUGGAUACCGCCCCCGCCCCCGCCCCCCCCCAAGGGCACCCGUGUUAUCUGACUAGCUGAUCUCCAAGGGGUUGUAAGCCACUGUCUAAAUCAUGCGGUAUCGGCAAGGAGAAUGCAGUUGCCGUGGCGACCCAGCAGGCCAACGAAACGCACGGGCUCCCCGGAGACGGGCUAAUACAAGCUGUAGCGCAAGCAGGUGGCCGAAAUGAGCCGCGCACGACAGCUUUGAAGACCAAAUUACAACAAUUUGCUUCAGAUUUAUCUGUUUUUGUCCAAACAUCGCCAUUUUUACCUUAACAGCCUUGAGGGGAGGAAGUACAUGUAAAAAAAAUAGAGGAAGAGAAGGAAGGCAGUGGCAUUUUAAGUGUAGCGUAACAGCGAGCAGCUGUGGCACAUCGCAACGCGUGACCCGUGU